UCAUUCACUGGGAUGGUUAAGGGCAGCAGUGGGCUGACAUCCUCAGGAUCCUGUCUGUUUGGUUGUUCAAUGCCUGCUCCGUGGGAAUGCUCUCUAGUGGACAUUGAGAAUGAUCCACCCCAUUUUUCCUCAUUUUGCAGUCUUGCCCUUUCCAGGCUCUUGACCAUAACCAGCUAAGCCAUUCUCUACUGCUUGUGUGUAUGUGACUGUCAUAACCUCAGGGCCCUUCUCCCACCACAUCAGGUUGGGGAUCAGUUCAAGUGUUCAAGGCCCCCUCCAAUGGGAAGAUUUCCCUUCACUGCUGACUUUCAGGGCUGCUCUUGCAUCAGGCUACUGGGAGAUAGUGGUACAUUUUUGGGUUCAACCAGAAUAUGGAGUUGACUUAUCUGUGAAGUAGGCCCAAGGUUUUCCUUCUCCAUCAGCUAGUGAUAGAGAACUCCCUACAACCAGGAGCUGAAGGAAACACAUUGGUGCAACAUAAGUAGGUGAUGUGAGAUCUGGGUCACCUGUUCGUGUCCUUUAGGCCUGCUAGGGACUGAUCUUGAAUGUGCCGUUUUCAUUAAAUGGUGGAAUUCUCCAGUGUCCACACAACUUAUGACUUGGCAGGUCUAAACAUACCCAGACCAUGAUGGACAGCUCUAGUCUCAUUGUUCCUUGAUAUCCCAUGUUCAGGUGACUAGUCCCUACUACAGCCCAAUAGCAUGCCUAAACCUGGCUUUUGAAUGGUGAGGUUUUUUUUUUUUCUGUAGAUAGUUCAGUCUUACUCUACAAUCCUAGGGUUUUGUUCUGUAACUCCCCUGCUUAAUCUCACCAAGACUCCUCAAAACAUUGUCAUCUAUCUCAGAUAUUGCUAGCAUCCUGGAAUCUGCCAGGUCUUAAGGUACCAAAUACGAAGCUGCUACCUUAAAGAUGGAAUGUUCAAGGUUUAACGAUUUCUUCUUUAUCUUGGAAGAAAUAUCUCAAUAUGCCCCAUACCACUGGACCUUUAAAAACUUUUCUGAUGUGGCAGGCCUCUGAGUCUUUGUAGGGCUUAUCUCCAACCCCUGAUGCACACAUCUUACCAGGACUUCUGAGUUCUUGCCAUUUCCUGCUCAUUUGAAUUGUUAUUAUGAUGCUAUCAGUAUAAUAGGCCCGUCUGAUGUUCUGUGGAAUGUUGAGAAAAAGAUGGUUCCUUUGAACUGUAUGGUGACAGAGAGCAGAAGAGUUAAAUAGGUCUGGGCAAAACCAUUCAUAGGUACAGUUAUGUAUGGCAAGUGAAUGCAAACUUGUUCUGAUCUUCCUCCAGAGAGACUGAAAAAAAUGUAUUCAUCACAUUGUAAACCACAUACUAAGUGCCGGAGGCUGUGCAGAUCUGUGCUACUGAAGAUGUCUGGCAAAAAGACUUGCAAUUGAGGCUACUGCUUGGUUAAGUUUAUGGUCGUCCAUUGUUAUCUGCCAGGAGUCAUCUAAUUUUGCUGAUGGCUUAUAUGGGGAUAUGAUGGGGACCAUGACCCUGCAUCCUUUAAGUCUUUGAAGGUGAUACCAUACUAGUCUUUUUCAUUCCAUCUCAGAUCAACUAGCAGUGAAAGCGAGUUCCA
rnacentral:lncRNA from 1 species